UACGGGGGGGGCAAGCGUUGUUCGGAAUUACUGGGCGUAAAGGGCUCGUAGGCGGCCAACUAAGUCAGACGUGAAAUCCCCAGGCUCAACCUGGGAACUGCGUCUGAUACUGGAUGGCUUGAAUUCGGGAGAGGGAUGCAGAAUUCCAGGUGUAGCGGUGAAAUGCGUAGAUAUCGAGAGGAACACCUGCGGCGAAGGCGGGUUGCUGGGCUGACACUGACGCUGAGGCGCGAAAGCGUGGGGAGCAAACAGG
rnacentral:rRNA from 1 species